rnacentral:rRNA from 1 species
GACAGAGGUUGCAAGCGUUGUUCGGAAUUACUGGGCUUAAAGCGCACGUAGGCGGUCCGUUAAGUCAUGUGUGAAAUCCCCCGGCUCAACCGGGGAAUUGCGCCUGAUACUGGCGGGCUAGAGUUCGAUAGGGGUGAGCGGAACUCCAGGUGGAGCGGUGAAAUGCGUAGAUAUCUGGAGGAACACCGGUGGCGAAAGCGGCUCACUGGAUCGAAGCUGACGCUGAGGUGCGAAAGCUAGGGUAGCAAACGGG